rnacentral:tRNA from 1 species
GGAAGCGUGCCUGAAUAAAGGAUCACUGUGAUAAAGUGAAUAUAGAGGUGUAACAGCCCUCUCACUUCCU